rnacentral:rRNA from 1 species
CCUACGGGGGGCUGCAGUGGGGAAUAUUGGACAAUGGGCGAAAGCCUGAUCCAGCCAUGCCGCGUGUGUGAAGAAGGCCUUCGGGUUGUAAAGCACUUUCAGUGGGGAAGAAAGCCUUGGGGCUAAUACCCUCGAGGAAGGACAUCACCCACAGAAGAAGCACCGGCUAACUCCGUGCCAGCAGCCGCGGUAAUACGGAGGGUGCGAGCGUUAAUCGGAAUUACUGGGCGUAAAGCGCGCGUAGGCGGUCUGAUAAGCCGGUUGUGAAAGCCCCGGGCUCAACCUGGGAACGGCAUCCGGAACUGCCAGGCUAGAGUGCAGGAGAGGAAGGUAGAAUUCCCGGUGUAGCGGUGAAAUGCGUAGAGAUCGGGAGGAAUACCAGUGGCGAAGGCGGCCUUCUGGACUGACACUGACGCUGAGGUGCGAAAGCGUGGGUAGCAAACAGGAUUAGAUACCCGAGUAGUC